rnacentral:lncRNA from 1 species
CGGCCAGUACACCGCCACCUUCCUCCACCCAACCCUGAGAGAAAACGCCCACCCCCCAGAUCUCCAUCUCCUCCCUCCUCCUCUCUCUCUCUCUCUUAUUAAGGAGCAAGCAAAGCGGCCGCUCCCUCCCGGCUCAGAUCUCCGCGCGCCGAUCGAUCCCCCACCCGCCCCCAAACCCUCGCUCGUCAACGCCGCCGCGGCUCCCGACGA